rnacentral:rRNA from 1 species
AGUGAACGCUGGCGGUAGGCCUAACACAUGCAAGCCGAACGGCAGCACAGGAGAGCUUGCUCUCUGGGUGGCGAGUGGCGGACGGGUGAGGAAUACAUCGGAAUCUACUCUGUCGUGGGGAAUAACGUAGGGAAACUUACGCUAAUACCGCAUACGACCUACGGGUGAAAGCAGGGGACCUUCGGGCCUUGCGCGAUUGAAUGAGCCGAUGUCGGAUUAGCUAGUUGGCGGGGUAAAGGCCCACCAAGGCGACGAUCCGUAGCUGGUCUGAGAGGAUGAUCAGCCACACUGGAACUGAGACACGGUCCAGACUCCUACGGGAGGCAGCAGUGGGGAAUAUUGGACAAUGGGCGCAAGCCUGAUCCAGCCAUACCGCGUGGGUGAAGAAGGCCUUCGGGUUGUAAAGCCCUUUUGUUGGGAAAGAAAUCCAGCUGGCUAAUACCCGGUUGGGAUGACGGUACCCAAAGAAUAAGCACCGGCUAACUUCGUGCCAGCCGCCGCCGUAA